rnacentral:rRNA from 1 species
UACGUAGGUGACCAGCGUUGUCCGGAUUUACUGGGCGUAAAGAGCGCGCAGGCGGUCGUUCAAGUCGAGUGUGAAAGCCCCCGGCUCAACUGGGGAGGGUCACGCGAUACUGCUCGACUUGAAGGCAGGAGAGGGAAGUGGAAUUCCCGGUGUAGUGGUGAAAUGCGUAGAUAUCGGGAGGAACACCAGUGGCGAAGGCGACUUCCUGGCCUGUAACUGACACUGAGGCGCGAAAGCGUGGGGAGCGAACAGG